rnacentral:rRNA from 1 species
UGCCAGCCGCCGCGGUAAGACGAAGGGUGCUAGCGUUGUUCGGAAUGACUGGGCGUAAAGGGCGCGUAGGCGGUCUUUUAAGUUAGGCGUGAAAGCCCCGGGCUUAACCCGGGACGUGCGCUUAAGACUGGAAGGCUUGAGUAUGGAAGAGGUAAGUGGAAUUCCUAGUGUAGAGGUGAAAUUCGUAGAUAUUAGGAAGAACACCAGUGGCGAAGGCGGCUUACUGGUCCAUUACUGACGCUGAGGCGCGAAAGUGUGGGGAGCAAACAGGAUUAGAUA